GCCAGACUCCUACGGGAGGCAGCAGUGGGGGAUAUUGCACAAUGGGGGGAACCCUGAUGCAGCGACGCCGCGUGAGCGAUGAAGUAUUUCGGUAUGUAAAGCUCUAUCAGCAGGGAAGAAAAUGACGGUACCUGACUAAGAAGCCCCGGCUAACUACGUGCCAGCAGCCGCGGUAAUACGUAGGGGGCAAGCGUUAUCCGGAUUUACUGGGUGUAAAGGGAGCGUAGACGGCAGUGCAAGUCAGGAGUGAAAGCCCGGGGCCCAACCCCGGGACUGCUCUUGGAACUGCGCGGCUGGAGUGUCGGAGAGGCAGGCGGAAUUCCUAGUGUAGCGGUGAAAUGCGUAGAUAUUAGGAGGAACACCAGUGGCGAAGGCGGCCUGCUGGACGAUGACUGACGCUGAGGCUCGAAAGCGUGGGGAGCAAACAGGAUUAGAUACCCGAGUAAG
rnacentral:rRNA from 1 species